rnacentral:rRNA from 1 species
AUUGAACGCUGGCUGCAGGCCUAACACAUGCAAGUCGAGCGGAGCGGCUGACGGGUGAGUAAUGCCUAGGAAUCUGCCUGUUAUUGGGGGAUAACGUCCGGAAACGGUCGCUAAUACCGCAUCCUAUCAGAUGAGCCUAGGUCGGAUUAGCUAGUUGUUGGGGUAAAGGCCUACCAAGUCGACGCUCCGUAACUGGUCUGAGAGUAUGAUCAGUCAAACUGGAACUGAGACACGGUCCAGACUCCUACGGGAGGCAGCAGUGGGGAAUAUUGGAAAAUGGGCGAAAGCCUGAUCCAGCCAUGCCGCGUGUGUGAAGAAGGUCUUCGGAUUGUAAAGCAAUUUAAGUUGGGAGGCGUUACCAACAGAAUAAGCACCGGCUAACUUCGUGCCAGCAGCCGCGGUAAUUC